rnacentral:tmRNA from 1 species
GGGGCCGACCGGUUUUGACAGCAUAGGGCAGGGUAUGUAAGCAUGUGGUGCGUUGUGUAGUUAGCACCUUAAUCUGAAUGCUCAACUUUCGAAUGGCGAAUACUCUUACGCCAUGGCUGCCUAAUCAGAGAUUAGCGUAGUCAUUAUGGCCGCCGGGAAUGCUGCCUGUUGCAGUCCCCGCCGCCCAAUCAACCAAAUGACAGGAUAGGCUUGUGCCCGCUGCGUGCACCGGAUGAAAACCAUAGCAGAUAAGGAAACUGUUGGUUCGUUCUGCCCCGGCCGGUUCCCGACAAUUAAUGCAGAAAUAAACAUGUAGAAAGCAUAUCGGGCAUAUGUUUGGACGCGGGUUCGACUCCCACCGGCUCCACAA